rnacentral:rRNA from 1 species
GUAUAGGAGGUCCAGCCUGCCCAGUGACUACAAGUUCAACGGCCGCGGUAUUUUGACCGUGCAAAGGUAGCGCAAUCACUUGUCUUUUAAAUAGAGACCUGUAUGAAUGGCUAAACGAGGGCUUAACUGUCUCCCCUUUCCAGUCAGUGAAAUUGAUCUGCCCGUGCAGAAGCGGACAUAAAAAUACAAGACGAGAAGACCCUUUGGAGCUUAAGGUACAAAACUCAACCACGUCAAGCAACUCAAUAAAAAGCAAAAACUUUGCGGAACAUGAGAUUUUACCUUCGGUUGGGGCGACCACGGAGGAAAACAAAGCCUCCAAGUGGAUUGGGAAAACCUCCUAAAACCAAGAGAGACAUCUCUAAGCCACAGAACAUCUGACCAAACAUGAUCCGGCUGCCCGAAGCCGAUCAACGAACCAAGUUACCCUAGGGAUAACAGCGCAAUCCUCUCCCAGAGUCCAUAUCGACGAGAGGGUUUACGACCUCGAUGUUGGAUCAGGACAUCCUAAUGGUGCAGCCGCUAUUAAGGGUUCGUUUGUUCAACGAUUAAAGUCCUACGUGAUC